rnacentral:rRNA from 1 species
ACCUACGGGGGGCAGCAGUAGGGAAUCUUCCACAAUGGGCGCAAGCCUGAUGGAGCAACGCCGCGUGGGUGAAGAAGGUCUUCGGAUCGUAAAACCCUGUUGUUAGAGAAGAAAGUGCGUGAGAGUAACUGUUCACGUUUCGACGGUAUCUAACCAGAAAGCCACGGCUAACUACGUGCCAGCAGCCGCGGUAAUACGUAGGUGGCAAGCGUUAUCCGGAUUUAUUGGGCGUAAAGGGAACGCAGGCGGUCUUUUAAGUCUGAUGUGAAAGCCUUCGGCUUAACCGGGGUAGUGCAUUGGAAAUU